UAUCCGGAUUUAUUGGGUUUAAAGGGUGCGUAGGCGGUUUGAUAAGUUAGAGGUGAAAUCCCGGGGCUUAACUCCGGAACUGCCUCUAAUACUGUUAGACUAGAGAGUAGUUGCGGUAGGCGGAAUGUAUGGUGUAGCGGUGAAAUGCUUAGAGAUCAUACAGAACACCGAUUGCGAAGGCAGCUUACCAAACUAUAUCUGACGUUGAGGCACGAAAGCGUGGGGAGCAAACAGGAUUAGAUACCCUGGUAGUCCACGCAGUAAACGAUGAUAACUCGUUGUCGGCGAUACACAGUCGGUGACUAAGCGAAAGCGAUAAGUUAUCCACCUGGGGAGUACGUUCGCAAGAAUGAAACUCAAAGGAAUUGACGGGGGCCCGCACAAGCGGAGGAACAUGUGGUUUAAUUCGAUGAUACGCGAGGAACCUUACCCGGGCUUGAAAGUUACUGACGAUUCUGGAAACAGGAUUUCCCUUCGGGGCAGGAAACUAGGUGCUGCAUGGUUGUCGUCAGCUCGUGCCGUGAGGUGUCGGGUUAAGUCCCAUAACGAGCGCAACCCCUACCGUUAGUUGCCAUCAGGUCAAGCUGGGCACUCUGGCGGGACUGCCGGUGAUAAGCCGAGAGGAAGGUGGGGAUGACGUCAAAUCAGCACGGCCCUUACGUCCGGGGCUACACACGUGUUACAAUGGUAGGUACAGAGGGUCGCUACCCCGUGAGGGGAUGCCAAUCUCGAAAGCCUAUCUCAGUUCGGAUUGGAGGCUGAAACCCGC
rnacentral:rRNA from 1 species